GGACUGAGCAGGUCCCAGAGCCCCAUCACGGUGCCUCCACCUCACUCACUGACACAUGAGAGACACAGUGACCAGAAGAUCCAGGAACUCACCAACAAGAUCAUUCAGGACGGGCAGUAUAUAGAGGAACACAUGGGUCUGUACAAGGACAUGAUGAUGGAGAAUCACCGGCCCCUCACAUCACUAGAUGGGCCCAGUAACAGAGAUACCCCAGAGAGAUGUCCCCGUCCUCUGUAUGCCCAGGAUUGUACAGAGGAGAAUCACAGGAUCCCACAGGAGG